AUUAAAGGCAUUUUUCUAGUUUAAGUUUUAUCAUGGUAAGAUCAAUUCCAUUUGUUUACUAUUUUUCAAUGCACAAAUGAAUGUCUUGUCUAGCAGAAGUAGAGGCUGAGUGAAAUAUUGUUAUUGCAACUUGUAAAGUCUGGGGUAUGAUCUAACAAAUGUAUAGGCAAGUCAUGUUCUAUUCUGAUGACUUAUAUGAAAAAUGUGAGUUAAAGAAUUCAAAGAAAGAAAUGGUAUCUCUUGUAUUGAAAAAUAUGUCUGAUUAGAUGACCAUAUGUUCCACAUGCAACUGCAACAAGUGAAAAUAUAAUGUUUUAAAGUAUCUUCUGAUCAACCUUGUAGUUUCAGCUAUAUGGUGUUUAAGAAUUUUAAGGAUUGCAUUGGAUUCUGGGAUAAUUAGAAAACACUUUCUCUUUAUUUAUGUUACAAUUUUAUUUUCUAGUAAAUUAAGAGGAUUUUUUCUGCUGCAUAUUAUGUAGAGCAUGACUUGGAGGAGAGUAGUACAA
rnacentral:misc_RNA from 1 species